AAUCUUUCUCUUUAGAUCCCUCAUUCACAGGAGAGCCGUUGAUGUUGGUGAAUCAAGCGAAUGUGUAGUAGAAGAAGAAGAAGUAAUGUGGAUACUGAAAUUGAUACUUCCUUUAAUAAAUGAGUUUCUUUUGAAAAUCAGAGCCCUUUUUUUCUGGGGAUCCUUCGACUACAAUGAAGAUGGCGGUUCUGCUGUUUCUUUUGGCUAAGUUCGGCAACUAUAUAACUAUUUGGAAACUGUAUAAAUUGGGUUUUUUUGGAGUUUUCGUCAUACCAAAAGUUUGCUCUUCUUAUUCGACACAGUUAACUUCUCACGGUACAUUUUUUAUAAGAUACAUUAGAGAUGCUUGGGAAUCAUGUACUCACAAAAAGGCUAUUGGAUUUGCAAUCUUCACGUUAGUAUGGAAUUUCUCUUCAAUCAUUGCCAGAAUAUGGGCAGUGUUCAUGUUAUAUGUGGG
rnacentral:misc_RNA from 1 species